rnacentral:snRNA from 1 species
GCCCAUUCUUCGGGAUGUGGCAUUAAACAAACGCUUUAAUAUACAGAGAAGAUUAGCAUGGUCCCUGUGCAAGGAUGACAACCAAUUGCAUAAUCGAAGAGAAGCAAAAACUUUUU